CCUACGGGAGUCUGCAGUGAGGAAUAUUGGUCAAUGGACGAGAGUCUGAACCAGCCAAGUAGCGUGAAGGAUGCCUGCCCUAUGGGUUGUAAACUUCUUUUAUCUGGGAAUAAAAUGUUCCACGUGUGGGAUUUUGUAUGUACCAUAUGAAUAAGGAUCGGCUAACUCCGUGCCAGCAGCCGCGGUAAUACGGAGGAUCCGAGCGUUAUCCGGAUUUAUUGGGUUUAAAGGGAGCGUAGGUGGAUUGUUAAGUCAGUUGUGAAAGUUUGCGGCUCAACCGUAAAAUUGCAGUUGAAACUGGCAGUCGUGAGUACAGUAGAGGUGGGCGGAAUUCGUGGUGUAGCGGUGAAAUGCUUAGAUAGCACGAAGAACUCCGAUUGCGAAGGCAGCUCACUGGACUGCAACUGACACUGAGGCUCGAAAGUGUGGGUAUCAAACAGGAUUAGAUACCCGAGUAGUC
rnacentral:rRNA from 1 species